GAUGAAAUCUAUCCAAAGUUGUAUCCAUAAAAUGAUACAGUACAAUACAAUACAAUACAGUACAAUACAUUAUAAAACGAUGGGUAACAAUGAUCCAAACAUAGUGUUAAACCCCAAAACUUCCUUAAUAUAAAGUCCCACUUGAUACUAUACAGUACUCAAAUAUUCAUUUACUUCACCUUGUAUGUACAAAUUACUAAUAUAGUAAGUCUUCAGAGUAUGGAAACAAGCGUAGCUAAUGAGGCACCAAAGGCCACAAUAACGGCGGAGGACUACAAGAAGGAUCUUGAUUUCAUUGAAGAGGUGACUAGCAACGUUGAUGAGGUCCAAUGCAGAGCUCUUGCUGAAAUCCUCUCCCAGAAUGCACAUGUUGAGUACUUGCAACGCUAUAAUCUCAAUGGCCGCACUGAUAGAGAGACGUUCAAGAAAGUCGUACCUGUCAUCACUUACGAAGAUAUUCAGCCCGAUAUCAACCGUAUAGCCUAUGGUGAUAAAUCUCCAAUCCUCUGCUCCCAACCCAUCUCUGAAUUAUUGUCAAGUUCUGGCACGUCUGGAGGGGAGAGCAAAUUGAUACCAACAACAGAGGGAGAGCUUGAGAGGAGAUUACAGCUUCACAAACUUCUGAUGUCUGUGUUGAGUCAAGUGGCUCCAGAUUUUGGAAAGGGCAAAGGAAUGUAUUUCAUGUUCAUAAGCCCUGAACAGAAGACCCCAGGAGGAUUAGUAGCUCGCUUUCUUACAACUAGUUUUUACAAUAGUCCUCACUUCAACUACAGUCGUCUUCAUUACCCCCACUUUAACUACACUAGUCCAACUGCAGCCAUUCUGCCCAGACUCUUACCAAAGCAUGUACUCCCAAAUGCUUUGUGGUCUCUGCCAAAACCAACAAGUUUUCCAGGUUGGCUCCUUUUUUGCGACCAGCUUCAUUCGUGCCAUCCGAUUCUUGGAGAAGCACUGGUCUCUACUUUGUAAUGAUAUCCGAACCGGAACGAUUAACACCCAAAUAACUGAUCCUUUAGUGAGAGAGGCAGUGAUGGAAGUCCUCAAACCUGACCCAACAUUAGCUGAUUUCAUUGAGGUUGAAUGCAGUAAAGAGUCAUGGCAAGGGAUCGUCACUAGGUUGUGGCCUAAUACCAAGUAUGUGGAUGCUGUUGUGACUGGAUCCAUGUCACAAUAUAUACCGAUACUUGAUUAUUACAGCAACAACCUCCCUCUUAUCAGUACUGUGUAUGCUUCCUCGGAAAGCCACUUUGGAAUCAACUUGAACCCUUUUUGUAAGCCUAGCGAAGUCUCUUACACCCUUAUUCCCACCAUUUGCUAUUUUGAGUUCUUACCGUAUCAUGGAAACAGUGGAGUCAUUGAUUCGAUCUCCAUGCCCCAGUCGCUUGAUGAGAAAGAACAACAACAAUUGGUUGAUUUGGCUGAUGUCAAGAUUGGCCAGGAGUACGAGCUUGUCGUUACCACAUAUUCUGGACUCUACAGAUACAGAGUUGGUGAUGUGCUUCGGGUUGCUGGAUACAAGAACAAAGCGCCUCAAUUCAACUUCCUAUGUCGGGAAAAUGUAAUCUUGAGCAUUGGUGCUGACUUCACUAAUGAAGUUGAGCUACAAAACGCAAUGAAAAAUGCAGUGGGCAAUCUGAUGUCAUUUGAUGCUCAGGUAACCGAGUACACCAGCUAUGUUGAUAUUACCACUAUUCCAAGCCACUAUGUCUUAUUCUGGGAGCUGAGUGUGAAUGACUCUACCCCAGUUCCUCCAUCAGUCAUUGAAGAUUGUUGCCUCACAAUUGAAGAAUCUCUAAACUACUUCUACCGCGAGGGCCGUGCGUCUAAUAAAUCAAUCGGCCCUCUAGAAAUUAGGGUGGUGGAAAUUGGAACUUUUGACAAGCUCAUGGACUACUGCAUUAGCUUAGGAUCUUCCAUGAACCAAUACAAGACACCCCGUUGUGUGAAAUAUGCACCCCUUAUUGAGCUGUUGAAUUCAAGGGUCGUAUCCAGCUACUUCAGUCCCAUGUGUCCAAAAUGGGUUCCUGGCUACAAGAAAUGGAACAACACCAAUUAAAUGUCAAGCUUCCAAUUUCUCUGCUUUAAUGUCAACCAUUUGUGGAUUGCUUUAGUGAAUAAUCAUCCUAGCUAUGUUAGUCUUUCACGAACAUGUUAUGGAUUUGUAUUUGUCACAAAUAAAAUAUGGCACUUUUUAUUUCUGUAA